rnacentral:lncRNA from 1 species
GCUAAGAUGAGAGGUGGAGAGAUGAUUCUCCUCUAUCUGACUGGAACAGUGGGACGUCUUCAGUUUUUCUUCCUGAUAACACACUGUUACACCCAUCACCAUGUUUCUCUACCCAGUGUUUCUCCUCUCUGCACAUGUUGUAAACCAAACCUUCCUCACCACCACCACACUUCAUUAAGAGCCACCAUUGUAUGGGUUUUAUGUCAGUGGGAGGAGCUACAGAAAUGAUCCUCUUCGAACUUUGAUGGUGAUAUACAGGCUGAGAUGGACAUGGAAGAGAGAGAGAGGAUCUCUACCUCUUACUGUAACUCACAGUCACUCUCAGUGUGUUCUGUAUAACCAUGGUACUCUGUGUGAUCAUCUGGCUGGUUCUUGAUGUAUUCUGCUUUGGUGACAGUAAUGGUCAGAUCAUUAAGCCAAUCUCUUCUGCUGAAGUGAGAGACUCUGCAAUGUACUAUUGUGCUGUGACAGGAACCCAGAAACUCUGUACUAAAACCUUUCCUUAUACUUUCAAAUGUAGAUAUAAAAUGUAAUUGAUUUAAUGUAGUCAGUAGGAGGAGCUAAAGCUAAGGAUUAGAUAAUGAAUCAUUGUGAUAAGACAUGAUUCUCCCUACAUUAAUAAAAUCAAUCUAAGCAGGAGGAAGAGCAGCAACAGUUGAAGACUCUUCAAACACAGUAUGUGGAAAGAACAGUGAUCAGUCUGAUUUGUUGCCUUUUAUUGUCAGUUUGUCUAACUUACAAAGAACAUUGUUACUUUUUUCAAUUUUACUGUUCACAACAAUUACAGGUAAGAGACAGCAUUUGUUAUAUAAAUAUUGUCUAUUUUAUGUGUAUUUAAUAAUAAUAAUAAAAAUGCAGUAUCCAAGGAAAUUAUAUCAAUCUUCCAUGUGGAUUUCGGGUUUAUGUUUAAAUUCUGAAGAGGUAAUUACACCCUAUACUGAUGCAGUGCUGGCUUUGGACACGGACAGAGUUACUCUCUCUUGUAACUACACUGCUGGUGACACUCUUCAAUGGUAUCAACAAUAUCCCAAAUCACCACCACAGUUAUUGGUUAUGGAGUUAA